rnacentral:rRNA from 1 species
CGAACGGGUGAGUAACACGUGGGUGAUCUGCCCUGCACUUUGGGAUAAGCCUGGGAAACUGGGUCUAAUACCGAAUAUGAUCAUCGGCUUCAUGGUCGGUGGUGGAAAGCUUUUGCGGUGUGGGAUGGGCCCGCGGCCUAUCAGCUUGUUGGUGGGGUAAUGGCCUACCAAGGCGACGACGGGUAGCCGGCCUGAGAGGGUGACCGGCCACACUGGGACUGAGAUACGGCCCAGACUCCUACGGGAGGCAGCAGUGGGGAAUAUUGCACAAUGGGCGCAAGCCUGAUGCAGCGACGCCGCGUGAGGGAUGACGGCCUUCGGGUUGUAAACCUCUUUCAGCACAGACGAAGCGCAAGUGACGGUAUGUGCAGAAGAAGGACCGGCCAACUACGUGCCAGCAGCCGCGGUAAUACGUAGGGUCCGAGCGUUGUCCGGAAUUACUGGGCGUAAAGAGCUCGUAGGUGGUUUGUCGCGUUGUUCGUGAAAACUCACAGCUUAACUGUGGGCGUGCGGGCGAUACGGGCAGACUAGAGUACUGCAGGGGAGACUGGAAUUCCUGGUGUAGCGGUGGAAUGCGCAGAUAUCAGGAGGAACACCGGUGGCGAAGGCGGGUCUCUGGGCAGUAACUGACGCUGAGGAGCGAAAGCGUGGGGAGCGAACAGGAUUAGAUACCCUGGUAGUCCACGCCGUAAACGGUGGGUACUAGGUGUGGGUUUCCUUCCUUGGGAUCCGUGCCGUAGCUAACGC